GGUUAACAUCAAAUUUUUGUAUUCGAUAGAAACGAAAAUUUUAAUACCAGGCCCAAUCAUAGAUAGGAAUACUCAGUAUCAGCACCCCAUGGUACUGCAAAAACGGGGACUGAAUUUUUUUAGACCAAAAUAGCCUUGAUUCGCGCGACACAGAUCAUCAUUUCAGAUCCACAGACUCAACCUCCCCAUCUUCUUUGGUUCAUUUUCUUCAACGGACCAUGCGGCCGCAGCACGAUGAUUUCAGUUCCAGGCCUGGACAAAGCAUGGACUCGCUGCGUUUGCUUCGUUCAAGAUGAGUCGUUGCGUUUGCUCAAGAUCGUCGUUCCCACAGCCGCUAAACCCACAUCCACAACUUAGCUUGCUGCGUUUGCUCCGUUCCAAGUCGUCGGUUGUUGCUUUUGAUUUCUUCUAAUGGGUUCCGAUUUUCUGAUUUUGGUCCACAAGUUUGAAUCCUUGGCUUUGAUUUUCUCCCCAUGGGUUUCCAUUUUUUAUUUCAGCCGAUCCUCUUUUCUGGGUUGAGUACGGCUGUGAUGGGAAGAAGCCAAGGACAUUUGGGUCUUUUUUGUUGAUUUUUCGUUGGAUCUGAGACUUGUUCUUUUCGUUAAUUCAAGCAUUCCAUGUCAUAUCAAGUAUAAUUUUAAAGUUUAUUCCCACAUCA